GGCACAGAGGUAAAGAAUUUCUCUCAUCAUCCAAAACCAGAGUCAAAUCUGUGAAACCUCCUCCAAAUCCACAGAGUGGCUCUGCAGCAUCAUCUCUUCCCGUUUCUCUCUCGCUCUCUCUUCAAUGGACCACCAUCAAGUUUGUGAUUGAAACAUUGUGUCUGAAGCAUUGUGGACUUCCUUAAGACCUUUCAUAUCGAAACAUUGUGGUAAGAAUUUGA